rnacentral:rRNA from 1 species
GACGAACGCUGGCGGCGUGCUUAACACAUGCCAGUCGAACGGAAAGGCCCUGCUUUUGUGGGGUGCUCGAGUGGCGAACGGGUGAGUAACACGUGAGUAACCUGCCCUUGACUUUGGGAUAACUUCAGGAAACUGGGGCUAAUACCGGAUAGGAGCUCCUGCUGCAUGGUGGGGGUUGGAAAGUUUCGGCGGUUGGGGAUUGACUCGCGGCUUAUCAGCUUGUUGGUGGGGUAGUGGCUUACCAAGGCUUUGACGGGUAGCCGGCCUGAGAGGGUGACCGGCCACAUUAGGACUGAGAUACGGCCCAGACUCCUACGGGAGGCAGCAGUGGGGAAUAUUGCACAAUGGGCGGAAGCCUGAUGCAGCAACGCCGCGUGCGGGAUGACGGCCUUCGGGUUGUAAACCGCUUUCGCCUGUAACGAAGCGUGAGUGACGGUAAUGGGUAAAGAAGCACCGGCUAACUACGUG